CUUCUACAUUAAAAAUAAAGAUCAGCCUUACCUGUAACGAAGCUUGUCCAUGCUCCUUUUUGUGUAUGGAGUCGGAUCGUAACACUACACAUUCCAUAGCUGACAGCAGAUCUGAGAGGAGAGUAGGAGGGAAGGAAGGAAAGAACACCACUUUAAAUGAUCGUUGACUGACUGAUUGUUACGAUGUGGUUUCUGCGAGAUAAAAUGAUUUUGUGUAUGUAUGGGUGUGACUGGGUUGAAGCUCAGGUCAACAGCACAUACCUAUAAAUAACAACACCCCACCUCCCACAAAUUUACUUCAAUCAGUUCACUUUGAGGGUGACCAAAUGGAUGGACCCUGAUGAAGCUGCACCAACAAUAUUACAAGGUUGCAUUGGCAACAGUGAGUAGUCAUUGCAGCAGAAACACAUGGAGGUCAUUAUAAUAUGCUGUGUACAACUAUAAAAUAAAUUAUGUGGAUGUACAAGUCUC